rnacentral:rRNA from 1 species
UACGAGGGGUGCAAGCGUUAUUCGGAAUAACUGGGCGUAAAGAAUGCGUAGGCGGCUUGUUAAGUUGGUUGUUAAAUUCCCUGGCCUAACUAGGGACUCGCGACCAAAACUGGCUUGCUAGAGAUCAAGAGAGAGAAGUGGAAUUCUCGGAGUAGCGGUAAAAUGCGUAGAUCUCGAGAGGAACACCGAUGGCGAAGGCAGCUUCUUGGCUUGAAUCUGACGCUGAGGCAUGAAAGCGUGGGGAGCAAACAGG